ensembl:misc_RNA Metazoa_SRP Metazoan signal recognition particle RNA
UCUGGGGAGUGGUGGCACAUGCCCGUAGUCCCAGCUACUCGGAAGGCUGAGGCGAGAAGAUCGCUUGAGCCCAGGAGUUCUAGGCUUAGUGCAUUAUGUCGUUUGAGUGUCUGCACUAAGUUCGGCAUCAAUAUGGUGAGCUCCGGGGAGCGGGGGACCACCAGGUUGCCUAAGGAGGGUGUGAACCAGCCCAGGUCAGAAACAGAGCAGGUCAAAACUCCCGUUCUAAUCAGAAAGCCCUCUGGCUCCCAGAUUAAGGCUACACUGUACUGCUGAAUGGACAGAGCCUAAAUUCCUGUGCCUAUUUACAGUUAAAUCUACCACAA